rnacentral:rRNA from 1 species
GAUGAACGCUGGCGGCGUGCCUAAUACAUGCAAGUCGAGCGAACAAACGAAGAGCUUUCUCCUCUGACGUUAGCGGCGGACGGGUGAGGAACACGAAUAUAACCGACAGAGGAGACUGGGAUAAGUUCGGGAGACCUAAGAUAAUACCCGAUAAGAGAGUGAACGGGAUGGUUCAUUAGUGAAAGACGGAUUUGCUGUGACUAGUAGAGAGAUCCGGGCCGCAUUAGCUAGUUGGUAAGGUAACGGCUUACCAAGGCAACGAUCCGUAGCCGACCUGAGAGGGUGAUCGGUCACACUGGAACUGAGACACGGUCCAGACUCCUACGGGAGGCAGCAGUAGGGAAUAUUCCGCAAAGGGCGAAAGCCUGACGGAGCAACGCCGCGUGAGUGAUGAAGGUCUUCGGAUCGUAAAACUCUGUUAGUAGGGAAGAACAAAUGUGUAAGUAACUAUUCACGUCUUGACGUUACCUAAUCAGAAAGCCACGGCUAACUACGUG